rnacentral:rRNA from 1 species
GACGAACGCUGGCGGCGUGCUUAACACAUGCAAGUCGAACGGAAAGGCCCCUUUGGGGGUACUCGAGUGGCGAACGGGUGAGUAACACGUGAGUAACCUGCCCUUGACUUCGGGAUAACUUCAGGAAACUGGGGCUAAUACCGGAUAGGAAUCCUUGCUGCAUGGUGGGGGUUGGAAAGCUUCUGCGGUUUUGGAUGGACUCGCGGCUUAUCAGCUUGUUGGUGGGGUAGUGGCUUACCAAGGCUUUGACGGGUAGCCGGCCUGAGAGGGCGACCGGCCACAUUGGGACUGAGAGACGGCCCAGACUCCUACGGGAGGCAGCAGUGGGGAAGAUUGCACAAUGGGCGGAAGCCUGAUGCAGCAACGCCGCGUGCGGGAUGACGGCCUUCGGGUUGUAAACCGCUUUCAGCAGGGGCGAAGCUUGUGGUGACGGUACCUGCAGAAGAAGCACCGGCUAACUACGUG